rnacentral:lncRNA from 1 species
AUUCAUUUCCAUCGGUUCCUAUUCUUAUCCUUAUGAUGUUAGAGAAAAAAAUAAAUUAAAGUUUGUUCGUUACUUAUCAUUCAUAUGUAUUCAUUUUCAUUUCCAACUGUUUCUGUUCUUAGCAUUAUAUUUAAAAUUUUAAAAUGAGUUUGUCGACAGACCGAAAUUUGAAAUACGUGUCACGCCCCGGAUUACCACGUUUUUCCGAGUACGCUAACAGACCCGCCGUAUACCAAAAAAUUUUUCGUGCAUACGAAACGAUAGCUGUACCUGCAAACAGAUAGGAGCUACACCAAAGCACAGAGCUGCUAAAACAGAAUAUAUAUAAAUAACAACAUACUAAACCCACUGUACAUCCAAUAUCCAAAAUACACCCUGAACUCCGAGAGUACAACAAAACAUAACAGUAUGUACAUGAUAACAUCCCAAAACUAGCUCUGAAGG